AGUUGGUGGAGUGAUUUGUCUGGUUAAUUCCGUUAACGAACGAGACCUCAGCCUGCUAAAUAGUUGGCUCAAUCCCCCGGAUUGUGCCAACUUCUUAGAGGGACUUUCGGUGUGUAGCCGUAAGGAAGUUUGAGGCAAUAACAGGU
rnacentral:rRNA from 1 species